UGCUGGGUGAGAUGACGCUUGGUAAGCACUGCCCGGUGCCUUGCGGGGUAAACGGUGGUCUUCUGGUUUUAAUGUAGCGUAAUACCUCGCCCUUUAAUUGUGGGCUUGCAUGAAGUGUUCACGAGGGGGUUACUGUCUCUCUCUAGUGCUGUGAAAUUGAAUUGCAGGUGAAAUUGCUUGUAUAGGGGUAAAAGACGACAAGACCCCGUGCAGCUUUAUACUAUUGAUUAAUGAUGGUUGAGAUGUUAUUUGGUUGGGGCAACAGGGGAAUAAGAAAAACUUCCACUGAGUGUGUGUUUUGGCGGUAGGAAAUUAAGAUUAGGAAUACUGACGGGUUACGAUCUGGUUCGACAGAUAAGCGGAGAAGUUACGCCGGGGAUAACAGCGCAAUCUUUAAUUGGAGUUCUUAUCUGAUUAUGGGCUUGCGACCUCGAUGUUGAAUCAGCGUGAACCUAUAGGCGAAGAGGCUUGUGGGAAGGACUGUUCGUCCUCUAAGACGCU
rnacentral:rRNA from 1 species